GACGUAGGGCGCGAGCGUUGUCCGGAUUUAUUGGGCGUAAAGGGCGCGUAGGCGGCCGAUCAAGUCAGGCGUGAAAUUCCCGGGCUCAACCUGGGGGCUGCGCUUGAUACUGAUUGGCUUGAAUGCGGGAGAGGAUAGUGGAAUUCCCAGUGUAGAGGUGAAAUUCGUAGAUAUUGGGAAGAACACCGGUGGCGAAGGCGGCUAUCUGGCCCGUAAUUGACGCUGAGGCGCGAAAGCGUGGGGAGCAAACAGG
rnacentral:rRNA from 1 species